UGAGAGGUGCACCCUCAAAACCUUAUUAUUAAUUAUUGCACAUCGGUUCAAUAAAUUAAAGAACAAACAAACAUUGUACCCAAGUAAUAUAGCUUAGGUAUAAAUUCACAAUCGCAGCUUUAUUCUUCAAAUCUCAUGAUAAACUCAAAACUAAAGAUAACAUUACCUAAAUGACCCGGUCAUGCGCCAUGCUAUUGGAUAAAAAAGAGAUACAGCAACCAUACAAAAGACUACUGAGGAAACACACAAUUCUUUUUUUUUCCAUUUUAAUUUUCAUGGAUCCAGACGACCAUUGUGGAAAACUGCACACAACUGAUUUGAUGUGUUCUUACAUUGUAGAAGACCACGGAAUUAUUUGCUUCUCGAGAAUUUGGUCGAUCCCUACAAAACUGCACAUUUCAGCAAAUCGCGAUUAUCGAGUCUCAUCCUCAAGGUUGCGGAAACCAGCAACCAAAUCAUCAUGAAGCUUCUGAAACUUGCCCACCAGAACAUCCUCUCCUUCAGCUGGAUCCUCAAACUUUUGGGACACCAAACGGUAGAACAAAUCUCCUAGACGGUGCUUAAUGAGAGUGUAAGUGAUUUUUUGUCCAUCCAUACCAGCUCCUCGCUCAACGGCCUGGUUGGCCAAGUUAUAGAAGUGGAUGAUGUUGCGCAACAUCCAAACAGAUUUGUAGAAAGGGCAGAACUUAUCAUAUGGCGUAAAAGCAUUUUGUGCAAGGUAGUCCUCCCUUAAAAGUUUUGCAGUUUCCAAGGUAAUCUUAUCUGUUUCAGCCAGAGCAUCCUUUCCGACAAGUUGAACAAUUUCAUUUAGGUCAUCCUCCCUCUGCAGCACCUCACGGGCUUUUGUCCUUAUGUUAAUAAAAUCAGGAUCAAACUUCUCAUAAAAGGACUCGAGUGCCCCUGAGUAUUUUGAAUAGGAAAUAAGCCAAUUUACAGAGGGAAAGUGUUUCCUCUGAGCCAAUUUCUUAUCCAGACCCCAGAAGACCUGAACAAUACCAAGGGUUGCAGAUGUUACAGGAUCUGAAAAAUCUCCUCCUGGAGGAGAAACGGCACCAACAAUUGUCACACUACCAGUUCUCUCUGGUCCACCAAGACACUUAACUUUACCAGCACGCUCAUAGAAAGAUGCCAAACGUGCUGCCAAAUAAGCAGGAUAUCCACUGUCUGCAGGCAUUUCUGCCAAUCGACCUGAGAUUUCACGUAAAGCUUCGGCCCAGCGAGAGGUCGAAUCUGCCAUCAUACUGACAUUGUAUCCCAUGUCUCUGAAGUAUUCUGCUAUAGUAAUACCUGUAUAGAUUGAGGCCUCACGAGCAGCCACAGGCAUGUUUGAAGUAUUAGCGACUAGUGUAGUACGUUUCAUGACAGACUCUUCACGCCCAUCAGGCAAUGUCAUUGUCAAUUGAGGGAAAUCCAUAAG
rnacentral:misc_RNA from 1 species